CUGCAGCUCAAGUGGUGACCGCUAUUAUUGGGCCUAAAGCGUUCGUAGCCGGCUGAGUAAAUGCUUGGGUAAAUCGUGCCGCUUAACGGUACGAAUUCCGAGUAGACUACUCAGCUUGAGACCGGGAGAAGCUAGAGGUACUCCUGGGGUAGAGGUGAAAUUCUGUAAUCCUGGGGGGACCACCAGUGGCGAAGGCGUCUAGCUAGAACGGGUCUGCCGGUGAGGGACGAAGCCCUGGGGCGCAAACCGGAUUAGAUACCCGAGUAGUCC
rnacentral:rRNA from 1 species